rnacentral:misc_RNA from 1 species
GAUGAAGAACGCAGCGAAAUGCGAUAAGUAGUGUGAAUUGCAGAAUUCAGUGAAUCAUCGAAUCUUUGAACGCACAUUGCGCCCCUUGGUAUUCCAUGGGGCAUGCCUGUUCGAGCGUCAUUUGUACCUUCAAGCUCUGCUUGGUGUUGGGUGUUUGUCUCGCCUCUACGUGUAGACUCGCCUCAAAACAAUUGGCAGCCGGCGUAUUGAUUUCGGAGCGCAGUACAUCUCGCGCUUUGCACUCAUAACGACGACGUCCAAAAGUACAUUUUUACACUCUUGACCUCGGAUCAGGUAGGGAUACCCGCUGAACUUAAGCAUAUCAAUAAGCGGAGGA